GACGAACGCUGGCGGCGUGCCUAAUACAUGCAAGUCGAACGAACCGCGACUGAGUGCUUGCACUUGGUCAAGGUGAGUGGCGAACGGGUGAGUAACACGUGGGUAACCUACCUCAUAGUGGGGGAUAACAGUCGGAAACGACUGCUAAUACCGCAUAGGACAUGGAAUCACAUGAUUCUGUGAGGAAAGGUGGCGCAAGCUAUCGCUAAGAGAUGGACCCGCGGUGCAUUAGCUAGUUGGUAGGGUAAGGGCCUACCAAGGCGAUGAUGCAUAGCCGACCUGAGAGGGGGAUCGGCCACAAUGGGACUGAGACACGGGCCAAACUCCGACGGGAGGCCGCAGUAGGGAAUCUUCCGCAAUGGACGCAAGUCUGACGGAGCAACGCCGCGUGAGUGAAGAAGGUCUUCGGAUCGUAAAGCUCUGUUGUUAGAGAAGAACAGCGCAUAGAGUAACUGUUAUGCGUGUGACGGUAUCUAACCAGAAAGCCACGGCUAACUACGUG
rnacentral:rRNA from 1 species